GACGAACGCUGGCGGCGUGCUUAACACAUGCAAGUCGAACGGAAAGGCCUGCUUUUGUGGGGUGCUCGAGUGGCGAACGGGUGAGUAACACGUGAGUAACCUGCCCUUGACUUUGGGAUAACUUCAGGAAACUGGGGCUAAUACCGGAUAGGAGCUCCUGCUGCAUGGUGGGGGUUGGAAAGUUUCGGCGGUUGGGGAUGGACUCGCGGCUUAUCAGCUUGUUGGUGGGGUAGUGGCUUACCAAGGCUUUGACGGGUAGCCGGCCUGAGAGGGUGACCGGCCACAUUGGGACUGAGAUACGGCCCAGACUCCUACGGGAGGCAGCAGUGGGGAAUAUUGCACAAUGGGCGGAAGCCUGAUGCAGCAACGCCGCGUGCGGGAUGACGGCCUUCGGGUUGUAAACCGCUUUCGCCUGUGACGAAGCGUGAGUGACGGUAAUGGGUAAAGAAGCACCGGCUAACUACGU
rnacentral:rRNA from 1 species